GGGGCCUUAGGGGGGCUGGGAGAGCGCCUGCUUUGCACGCAGGAGGUCAGCGGUUCGAUCCCACUAGGCUCCACCA
rnacentral:tRNA from 1 species